UCUCCGUAGGUGAACCUGCGGAGGGAUCAUUACAGAGUUCAUGCCCUACCGGGUAGAUCUCCCACCCUAUGUUAUUAUUACUUUGUUGCUUUGGCGGGCCGUUAGGCUCCGGCCCGACUACCGGCCCCGGCUGGUAAGCGCCCGCCAGAGGACCCAAAACCCUGAAUAUUAGUGUCGUCUGAGUAUUAUAUAAUAGUUAAAACUUUCAACAACGGAUCUCUUGGUUCUG
rnacentral:misc_RNA from 1 species